UUGAUAUAAUACUGCAUAUUUACUCUUUUAUAAAGUAACACCCCGGUAAAUGCUGAAUAACUUGUGCCCUGGAGGAGGAGGGGCAGGGAAUUUAUGCAUGUAUAUGUAUACAUUAUUUAAUUAUAAAAAGUUUAUUGAUAUAACAGAUGUUUAGCACACUCUUUACAAAUAAUAAAAAAGUACAAUACUCUUGUAAACUUCCUUUAGCCAAUUGAUUCUUAUAGAAUGCUUUUGUUAAUUCUUGCCAAACUCCUGUGUCUGUUGCUAAUCUAUAGUUGCAACUGAUGAACAAGUAUAGUUCCAACGUGUCAGUUGAUAUUUUCUUUCAGCACAUAAUAUAAAGGGGAAACACUGAAACUUCACUUAUCAUCAAAGAUGUGAGUCAUCUUUGCUAAAUCAGACAUUUGCAAAUACUGGAGGAAUAUUUGUUCAAUAUUUUGUGCCAUUUACAAUGUAAUGGUUAUGGAUACAUUUGCAUCAUUAACUUUCUCCAUCACUUUCUUGAGUCUAGAUAAUCAAUAGAAAAAUAAAUUCAUCCCUGAUUGUCUUAUGUUGUCCAGGCUGGUUUGGAACUCCUAAGCUCAAACAAUCUUACCAGCCUCAGCCUCCCAAAGUGCUGGAAUUACAGGCUCCUGGCCCAUAUAAAUCUGAAAAUGGCUAUGUUUGAUACUAUCCUGCAAAAUUUCUGAAACGUUAAUAAUUGGCUCUCACAAGUCAAUGAAACCCACCUCCAGCACACCAUUGCAUUGACCCCUAAGGCUUAGCAAAAGCUUAUUUAUAAACAUUUAGGGAAUGAAGGAAUAAACAGAAGGCUUCAUCUGAUCCAAAAUGACUUUACUAGUUUUCUUUCCUACCCUCUCCCACUAGCACCCUCUACUCCAGUCAACAAAGUGAGAAGGGCGCUCUGGUGAACAUCAGUUAUUUUUGCCUGCCAACAGCAUUCAACUUCCUUUAUCUUGGCAAUGAGAUAUGGAUUUUCCUUUAGGAAAGCUACCCCUCCCUUGCUCUGAGUAUGUGAAGUUCAGGUGGAGUUACCCCAUCACCUCACUCCUGGGUGGACAUGUGACAGAAGUCUGGCUGUAACUAGGACACAGCAGGCCAGGGAGCAAACUGGGAUGAUCAGAGCCAAUGAGUGCCAGUCCAGGGACAUUUUCAGGAACCACUGGGAAGGAGAUGUACUUUCUCUCUGGGGAGUACUAAGCUGGUAAGUUUGAGCUGCUGGGGGCCUUGCCUACCACCACUUAGGGAAAACCUGUCUGCAUCUGAAACCAAUAAGAAAAAACAGAGCCAAGAGCUGGAGAAAGAGGUUAUGGAUGAUCAUUUGAGCACCUAAAUUCAACCAUUAUUUUACUUCUCUGUGCCCCAGUUUUCCCAUUCUGUGAAGUGGGGAUCAUGUGAGUACUUCCUUUAUGAAGUUUGGGAAUUACAUGAAGUAAGACAUAUAAAUCACUUAAGCAGUACCUGUAUUGUUUACUUACAUAAGCUGAUAAUCCCUUUAAAAAAAAAACAAAACAGUGAUUGAGUAUCUGUCACUUGUAGCUAAUACAGGUACCCAAGGAGUAAAUUCAGUUGCUGGUGAAAUCAAACUUCAAGUCUCUGUCCAGGGUGAACCUAAGGACCAGUCAGUUUGCAAGAAAAGGCAAUAUGUAACCUGUUGUCACAAGCUCUGUUUCUCUUCUCUUAUUCUCCCUUUAUUAGAGUUCAUGGUAGGAUCAGUCAGGCUCCUGGUACAGAGCAGAUAUUGAAAAAAAUAUUUAGUCAACAAAUGAAUGAAUAACUUAAUGCCUUGUGUAUUAUUGAUUGCUGUGAAACCAAUUACCCCCCAAACUCAGUGGCUUAACAAUAAACAUUAAUUAAUUUUCACAGUUCUGUGGCCAGGAAUUUGGCAGCUACUUGUCUGGGCAGUUCUUGGUGGAGUCUCACAUGAGACUGAGUCAGAAGUAAGCCAGGGCUGCAGUCAUCUGAAGCCUUGACUGGGGCUGGAGGAUUUGCUUCCAAGAUGGUGCACUCCCAUGGCUGGCAAGUUGGUGCUGCCUGUUGAUGACAGUCCUCAGUUCCUCUCCACAUGGGUCUCUCCACAGUGUUCAUCAGUGACUUGCAGCAUGGUGACUGGAUCCACCUAGUCUAGAAGUUGCAAUGCCUCUGAUAACAUAACUCCUGAAAGUCCUAAUCCAGUGUGGAGGAUACUAAACUGUUCUUUGUCACACAGAUCAACCCUGAUUCACUGUGGGAGGGUACUACUUGAAGGGAUGAAAUAACAGAAGACAGGGAUCAUGUGGCACCGUAUUGGAGGCUGGCUACUACAGCCUUGAAUGGAUCAAAAUUCCUCUCAUUAGUCUUGUCUUUGAACCACUGUGGGGGAAGGUGAGAUCUUUUGAGUUGCUUGAGAUUUGGCCUUUGUAAAUUAAAGUUCCUGGUAUUAAUAACUCUUAGAAAUCUUGAUGCUAUAACUUUAAAAUAUUAGCUGCUAGAAAUUUGGAUGUCACAAAACAAUUUGGGAAAGAUGCAGCCAAAACUUUCUCCUUGACCUCUACAAACACACACACUCUCACAAUUCCUUUACUGCCUGUUGAAUUUUCACAAUGAAAGCAUUCUUCCUGAGCGGAAAUGAAAUUAAGCUUUUCUGGGUAAUCCCACACUUUUCCUAAUAUGUACUGACUUCAGACAAAUACAUGUUUCACAGAGUAAAUACAGCCCAAGGGCCCAGUUUAUUCUUGGAAGAGUUGGAAGAACUGACAUCAUUUUCUUCUUGUGAUCUGUGGGUAUUUUUCACCUGGUGAGAAUUGGCACCAACGCCUUUGCUCCAGGCAUGGCAACACUUGGGUACUGUGUUUCCAAAGAUUCCAACCUGAGCCUCACUGAGUUGGAAGAGGCUCAGGUUGGAAUCUUUUAUCAUUUCCCUGGCAUUCUCCCUUUACUCGUAGGGCUACAUAUUUUCUCACCUCCUUUAAUUCUGCACAAAGCCAGGAUAAUGUAUGAUUUAGGUUAGGGUACAAACAUGCAGGAAUAGAGUAUUGCAGGCUCUGGAAAACAGCCCCACCUAAAACUGCUCCUCAAAUCCUACUCGUCAUCUGUUCUCUCCUAUGGAGCCUGUCCUGAAUUUCACACAAGAAAGCUCAAGGCCAUCAACAUUUGGAGCAAAACUGGAAUUGGGCUGCAGGCCUUGAGCAGGCACUUUUAUUAAAUGUUAUUAUUUUAUUUUUGCUUCUGAAGAGUUACCCUGAGAUUUUCUUAUAACUUUGUGUAAUCCCUCACCCUUUUUCUGGCAUAGUCGUCAACUUAAUAAGCAUUUAUUAAGCCCCUACUAUGUGUCAUAAGAUGUGAGCGGCACUGGAGGUACGAAGAGCCCAUGGUUUCAGGGGAAUGAUGCCUAAGUCAGCACAUGCUAAACCUGUGCUAAGUACCCACAUCAGUGCAAAUCAUGUAGGAGCCUUCACAGGGGACAUGAGAAAUGAAUGGAGGCCUUAAAGAAAAGAAUAUUUCACCAAACAAGAAAAUGAUUGAUGGAGGGAUCCCUGCCAACUCCAACAUAUCCAGAAACACAGGUUUCAUGUGAACCUUAGGAGCAUUUUGGGGCAAAAGUAAGAAACCCAACAUGGCACAGAGAGUGUAGAGCCAAGAAAGGCUAUGUCAGGCUGCAGAGGUGGGGUUUUCAGUGCCCAGUAAUUUGGAUUCAUGCAAGAGGCCAGGGGUUUUGAGACUUUUUUUCAAUUAGCAAAGCUCUUUUUUUUCCUAACUAAAAUUUCCCAUAGAGUCCCAAUAUUUAACAUAGAUACAAGACAUAAGGUUACUUUUGUGGUCACACAGGGAAGGGUUUAGAGCAACCUUUUGGUUGAGUCUUCCCAGCCCCAUCUUCCUACUCCACAGGGAAGCCACUAAGUUACACUAUAGAGAAGACCAAACAGAACAGUUUUGAGAACACCUGCUAUGGGCAAGAGGGAGCUUAGGUGGUUUUUCAUAAAAAAGUGAAAGUGUCAGGCACGUGUGUAUGUGUGUGUGUUUAUGAGUGUGUGUGUAUGUGUGUGCACGUGUGUGUGUGUGAAUUGGCAUUAGCAUGGAAACAGAUUUGGCAGUGAGACUAGUUAGGAGACUAUUGUGCUAGUCCAGGCAAGCCUCCUGGGACCUUGGCAGUGGAAAUCACAGUCUCUAUUCAGAACCUUAUCUAGCUCCCAGCUAAACCUGUAAUCCCCUUCAUAACCUCUUCUUUAUGCACCGCCUAGACCUACUUGAAGACUGUCAGUGAUGAGGGACUCAGCACCUCCUGCUGGCUUACUCUACCUUUAGAUUUUACUUCUAUUAAGUUAAUUAUGGCUUGGGGCAGCUUUCAUCUGCUGCUUUUCUCACUGCUUUGGUCGAGGUACAAAUGUAAACCCUCUUUUCCUGGCAGCUUUUGCAUGUUUCUGUUUGAUCAACUCAACAUUUGUGAGGUUCUCAGCAUAUGCCAGGCUUUGUGCUCUGUAGAAGGGGUACAAAAUGAAGGAGCCCUUACUCUCAAAGAAAAUAAUGGCUUUUGGGGGUAUGAGGGGUCAGGCUCAUAAUGACAUCAUUACUAUAUAGCUAUGGGGACACUGAUUAAGGAGUAAUGAAUUCAGCCUGAUUUGGUGUCUGUUGGGAAGUAGAAGAAGUCUCCCAACAGGGAGAGUACACUUACUUGUUGCCAUAUAAAUGAGUUGAAUUUAGUUUUGUCAACAGGACAAAGAGAAUGGAAAGAUGAUAGAGCGAGGAAGGGCAUUAUAGGCAGAGGUGAUGGUGUGAGAGCACGCAAGGAGGUAUAUGAGAGUCCAUCUGCAAGCUCCAUCUCCCCUUCUUUCAGCUGCUCCAUCUAUGACAUGACAUAUAACCUAGCUGUUAAAGAUGUGUCUUUUGGAGUCAGGCCGCUUGGCUUCAUAACCCAAGUGUUUCAUGCAUUAAGCUGUUCAAUUUUUGGAAGAUUGCCUAACCUUUCUCUGAUACAGUUUUCUGGUCAGUAAAAUGAGAAUAGUAAUAUUACCUACUUUAUAGGGUUGUUGUGAAAAUUAAACAAGUUAAUCUACAUAGAGCAAUUAGAACAGUGUCUGCCAUGUAGUGAAUGGAAUUGGUUGGGCAUGCUUUGAACACAUGGCAGUUAUGAAUGGCAGGUUAUAGACUCUACAGGAAUUUCAGAGGCAAGUUCUCUGGAUGUAGGGGCUGGCUGAAUGCAUAAGGUGAGAGAGGAAGAAGUACUGAAAUUCAGGUGACCAUCCCUGUCCCAGAAGGACUGUGCCUUUGGUGCAAUUUGGUGUCCAUUUAGGGGUGGGCUGAGGGGACAGCUCAGCAUAGGUGAUCUGCCCAGUCAAUCCUUGCUCCCCAAGGGCCUUUACUGAGAGUGCAUUAGCACAGGCUCAGGAGCAAGUUGUUCCUUAGUUGGCAGUUGGAGUUUCUGGCACAAAGAGUGUGGAUUCCAGAAGAAGCCACAGGGAGCUGAAGGCUCUAGGGGUUGGCUUGGCAUGUCUUUGAAGUUAAAGCCUCUGGGCAUCUGUGUGCUUAGGCAAAGGCCAGAGGCCACAGAGCUGAGCGAGGUCACCACUAUACCCAGCGUGGAGACAGCAUGCCCUUCAAGCCCAGGGGCCAACCUGCAGCCCUGAAUUAGAUCACUCAGAAAUCACAGACCUCAGGAAUCAAGUUCUGUAUUAAGGGCUGGGAAUACAAAGAUGGACAAGAACCUUCCUUCUGCUUCUCACUCAUAGUAGAGCAUGUAAGUGGAUAAUUACUACAGAGUGCAGCUCCAUGGACUUAAGAAAGAGGUAAAGAAGUGACCCCUUCAGAAAGCAUUGUAGGACACUGAUGUAAAGGCAUGAUUCAUUUUCACGGCCUUAGGGCGUGUGAUACAAGAAAGAGCACUGUUUUCUUCUGCUGGCUGGUAAGGUUGGGCUCUGCUUGUGGGAAUGAGACAGGGCUGUGAACCAUCUGUGAUGGGCAGGUAAGAUGAAGGCUGACAUUUCAAGAAUAUUCCUAAUGAAAUCAAACCUUUAAUUUGGAAAAAUAACUGUAUAAAGUGAUUUUAAGCAUUGAGGCGAUGUUAGGUGUGUCAGGAUGAAUACUCCUCUGUUCAAACUUCCUGACCCUCCUCCUCCCAUAAUUUUUUUUUUAACUUUCCUGUUCCUCCUCCUAAAAUAGUCUCCAGGAAAAAUGAGGGCAUUGAUCUAUUUUAGAAAGCAUGGCAUUGUUCCAUCAUACUCCCAUAAACUUAUUUUUAAUUAUGAAAAUCUUCUAGAUCAAUCUUGCUUUCCCUGUGGCUUUAGUAAGCUUUUUCUUCCAAUGUUUCUGUGGAGAUAGAAUGAGCAGGUUCUCUGUCAGAAGCCAAGAGACCUUUUCUCCAAGCCAAACUAUAAUUAGCUCUGUGGCCUUCGACAAGUCACUUAAUCUCCCAAGUAGGCUCUUCUUUUUCAAGCUAGGUCUUUGAUUCUAGGUGUGGUUCAGUCAGACCCAAGAGUGAAUCCUGGGGUCAUCUUUGAUGUUUCAUUACCUCUUUAUCAGCCCUCCCCACUCCUCAGACAGCCUAUACAAAUUUGUUAAUUUUUCAUUCACAAUAUUUUCUGUAGGCAUUGCUUUUUUUUCUAUCCCUAAUUUUAGUUUAAGAUCUUACCAAGUAUCAAGUCAUCAUUUUGAGGGUCCUAUCAGUGGGCCCUUGGUUAAGGAAGAGGAACAAAGAGACAGAGCCCAAAUAACAAGUUAAGGGGUUGCCCUUGAGGCAGUGAAGGUGUGCAGGAUUGACUUGAGAGAAAGAGUGACUGAAUCUCAGGAGAGCCCCAGUUCAGCCCAUAGUCUCAGUCCAACCCUGGCUCUGAGGUCCAGUGGAUAAUAUAUUGGAAGAAAGGAAAGGAAAAAGAGACAGAAAAGAGAAGUAAAGGUCAAAGCAGGGAAAGAAACAAAGUAUUGCCAGGUCAGGGCUUAAUACUCCUGAUCCAAGAAAACCUCAUAGCUCCCUAGGAGGUGUGGAUGAUUAUCUCCUGUACGUCCUUGGCCCACAGCCACAGAACUCUCAAGUGACAGGCAGAAUUUGAACUCAAGUCUUUAAACUCAGAGUUCUUUCUGAAUGGUAGAAGAAGCCAUGUGCUAAACCCUAGAAACUCU
rnacentral:lncRNA from 10 species